UACGGAGAGGGCUAGUGUUAUUCGUAUUGACUGGGUGUAAAGGGUAAGUAGAUGGUUUAUUAAGUUUCAAACAAAAUACUAAAAUCUUUUAGACUGUUUUUAAGACUAAUAGACUAGAGUUUAAACGGAGAAUGUUGAACAUUAAGUGUAAGGGUAAAAUCUUUCAAUAUUUAAAGGGCAUUCAAUAAGCGAAGGCUACUUUCUAGUUUAAAACUGACAUUGAGGUACAAAAGCGUAGGGAUCAAACGGGAUUAGAUACCCCGGUAGUCUACGCCCUGACCGAUGAAUGUUAAUUUAUACUGAGGUGUGAAUUAAGUUAACACGUAAACAUUCCACCUGAGUACUACGGCCGCAGGGCUAAAAACUCAAAGAAACUGACGG
rnacentral:rRNA from 1 species